UACGGAGGGUGCGAGCGUUGUCCGGAAUCAUUGGGCGUAAAGGGCGCGUAGGUGGCGCGGUAAGCGUGCGGUGAAAGCCUGGGGCUCAACCCCGGGUCGGCCGUGCGAACUGCUGGGCUUGAGCACUGUAGAGGCAGGCGGAAUUCCGGGUGUAGCGGUGGAAUGCGUAGAGAUCCGGAAGAACACCGGUGGCGAAGGCGGCCUGCUGGGCAGUGGCUGACACUGAGGCGCGACAGCGUGGGGAGCAAACAGG
rnacentral:rRNA from 1 species